AGAGUUUGAUUAUGGCUCAGGAUGAACGCUGGCGGCGUGCCUAACACAUGCAAGUCGAACGGGUGUGGGGGCUUCGGCUCCUACAUUAGUGGCGGACGGGUGAGUAACGCGUGGAGAACCUGCCCUGGUACUGGGGGAUAACAGUGGGAAACCACUGCUAAUACCGCAUACGCUUGCGGGGGCGCAUGUUCCUGCAAGGAAAACUCCGGUGGUACAGGAUGGCUCCGCGUUGGAUUAGCCAGUUGGCGGGGUAACGGCCCACCAAAGCGACGAUCCAUAGCCGGCCUGAGAGGGUGGACGGCCACAUUGGGACUGAGACACGGCCCAGACUCCUACGGGAGGCAGCAGUGGGGGAUAUUGCACAAUGGGGGGAACCCUGAUGCAGCGACGCCCGCGUGAAGGAUGAAGUAUCUCGGUAUGUAAACUUCUAUCAGCAGGGAAGAUGAUGACGGUACCUGCACAAGAAGCCCCGGCUAACUACGUGCCAGCCGCUGC
rnacentral:rRNA from 1 species